GUAUAUAUAUAUAUAUAUACUAUACUAUAUCGGUUUAUAUAUAAACCGAUAAAGAUUGACUGUAAUAAAGCAACUUAUUCAGCGUAAAAUUAUUAAAAAAAAAUAAAGAUCGGUGCUGUGAUUAGGGUGCAGUACUGUGUAAGACCUGCAUUACACCCCACUGACCACUAGAGGGCAGCACGUGACUGUUCUCUUCAGCGUUUGGUCAAAUUACAGGUGAUCUGCAGAUUAGUUUCCGAGUUUUAAUAACACGAAAUGUGAAUAAUUAUUUGACGCCGUAAACGUGGAUUUACUUCUAUCCUAUUCACUCUACUGAUACUUUAGACGAGCGGCGAAUAAACUGACACAGACUCGCUGUCGUGGCCAUGAGAUGGAUCUCGUAUUGAAAAUGUUGAUUUUAGCAGCUCUUCCCGUUUGUGUUCUCAUGCAUCAGACGGACGGUGGGCGGCCAAUAGACACGGCGUCUGAAGGCUCGGGCUAGAAGUGCAGCGGAGCCGUGCGGGGAGAUCUGACUUCCCUAAAGUAUCGGGCUGUAGUCAAAAAUAUUUACACUGCCAGGAGAAUGACCACAUUCAUAUGACCACAGCUGUCAAGCUCCUAACUUGAUGUAGGACACUAUAAAGGUAAACAUCACACCUUCUGGAAAUCAUCUGAAAAUGUUCUCAUAGG